rnacentral:tRNA from 1 species
UGGUGCGAUUGGUUAGCACGGCUGGUUGUUAGCCAGAAGGCUGGUGGUUCAACUCCACC